rnacentral:rRNA from 1 species
AUGAACGCUGGCGGCGUGCCUAAUACAUGCAAGUCGAGCGAACAGAUGAGGAGCUUGCUCCUCUGACGUUAGCGGCGGACGGGUGAGUUACACGUGGAUAACCUACCUAUAAGACUGGGAUAACUUCGGGAAACCGGAGCUAAUACCGGAUAAUAUAUUGAACCGCAUGGUUCAAUAGUGAAAGACGGUUUUGCUGUCACUUAUAGAUGGAUCCGCGCCGCAUUAGCUAGUUGGUAAGGUAACGGCUUACCAAGGCAACGAUGCGUAGCCGACCUGAGAGGGUGAUCGGCCACACUGGAACUGAGACACGGUCCAGACUCCUACGGGAGGCAGCAGUAGGGAAUCUUCCGCAAUGGGCGAAAGCCUGACGGAGCAACGCCGCGUGAGUGAUGAAGGUCUUCGGAUCGUAAAACUCUGUUAUUAGGGAAGAACAAAUGUGUAAGUAACUAUGCACGUCUUGACGGUACCUAAUCAGAAAGCCACGGCUAACUACGUG